UUCUUCUUCUUCCAUGUGAUACAAUCAUGUCUGCAAUGAGACCUCAAAGAAAGAAUUUCAAGAACUUGAGGCGAUAAGUGGGGCGGACUUGUUUCUAAAACGGGAUGAAGAAGUGUUUCCAGGCACCCAGAAAAAAGGAAGAUGUGUGCAUACACAUUCCCACAUCGAAAAGGGGGAUAUUUUUCUGAAAUAUGAAGGGAUGUUAACAAGGAAGGAGCCGAUUGGAAAUGACACAUAUGUGUUUGAAUUCCGAUUCAAAGGGGAAAAAGUGUUGCGACUAGGCCGCCAUGGAUUUGGACCGUCCUGACCGGCAUUUGUAAGAUGCACAAAAAUGGACCAAUCAGGUGCCCUUGGAAAAUUCUGUCAGCAGAAAGAGCAUUGGCACAGAAAAGCAUGUGUAUAAAGACACUAUCGCUUUUUUGCAGCUCUGAAAACUUUCAGAGAAGUAAACGAAA